AGUGAACGCUGGCGGUAGGCCUAACACAUGCAAGUCGAACGGCAGCACAGUAAGAGCUUGCUCUUACGGGUGGCGAGUGGCGGACGGGUGAGGAAUACAUCGGAAUCUACUUUUUCGUGGGGGAUAACGUAGGGAGACUUACGCUAAUACCGCAUACGACCUACGGGUGAAAGCAGGGGAUCUUCGGACCUUGCGCGAUUGAAUGAGCCGAUGUCGGAUUAGCUAGUUGGCGGGGUAAAGGCCCACCAAGGCGACGAUCCGUAGCUGGUCUGAGAGGAUGAUCAGCCACACUGGAACUGAGACACGGUCCAGACUCCUACGGGAGGCAGCAGUGGGGAGUAUUGGACAAUGGGCGCAAGCCUGAUCCAGCCAUACCGCGUGGGUGAAGAAGGCCUUCGGGUUGUAAAGCCCUUUUGUUGGGAAAGAAAAGCAGCAGGUUAAUACCCCGCUGUUCUGACGGUACCCAAAGAAUAAGCACCGGCUAACUUCGUG
rnacentral:rRNA from 1 species